CAGUCGCCGCGGUAAUACGGAGGGCGCGAGCGUUACCCGGACUUACUGGGCGUAAAGGGCGUGUAGGCGGCCUGGGGCGUCCCAUGUGAAAGGCCACGGCUCAACCGUGGAGGAGCGUGGGAUACGCUCAGGCUAGAGGGUGGGAGAGGGUGGUGGAAUUCCCGGAGUAGCGGUGAAAUGCGCAGAUACCGGGAGGAACGCCGAUGGCGAAGGCAGCCACCUGGUCCACUUCUGACGCUGAGGCGCGAAAGCGUUGGGAGCAAACCGGAUUAGAUACCCCGUAGUCCCUGUCUCUUAUACA
rnacentral:rRNA from 1 species